UACGGAGGAUCCAAGCGUUAUCCGGAUUUAUUGGGUUUAAAGGGUGCGUAGGUGGCUUGUUAAGUCAGGGGUGAAAGACGGUGGCUCAACUAUCGCAGUGCCUUUGAUACUGAUGGGCUUGAAUACACUUGAGGUAGGCGGAAUGUGACAAGUAGCGGUGAAAUGCGUAGAUAUGUCGCAGAACACCAGUUGCGAAGGCAGCUUACUAAAGUGUGAUUGACACUGAGGCGCGAAAGCGUGGGGAUCAAACAGG
rnacentral:rRNA from 1 species